UACGUAGGGGGCAAGCGUUGUCCGGAUUUACUGGGCGUAAAGAGCGCGUAGGCGGACGUUAAGUGUGGCCUGAAAGCCCCCGGCUCAACCGGGGAUCCGGGUUGCAAGCUGGACGUCUUGAGGGGGAUAGGGGAAGGUGGAAGUUCCUGGUGUAGCGGUGAAAUGCGUAGAGAUGUGGAGGAACACCGAUGGCGAAGGCAGCCUCCUGGGCCAAUACUGACGCUCAUGCACGAAAGCGUGGGGAGCAAACAGG
rnacentral:rRNA from 1 species